CUUGAAAGCCCUCUGGGCUGGUCCUCUCUAACACAAAAAGCCGCGAUGAACAGAACGCCAGGUAUAUGAAGAUGAAACAGUGAGGCCCUAAACUUCAAUGCAGUUUUCAGCUCAGAGCAGCAUGCAGACAAAGAAGUACAAUAUAAUCAAAGAAGAUACAUAUGGGGCAGAGAGAAGAAAAGAGAGAGAGAGCAACAUCCCUCAAGCUGACUAUCUCCUGCAGGAACC